GGUGGUGGUGUUCUAGGAGGGCGGUGGUGUUCUAGGAGGGCGGUGGUGUUCUAGGAGGGCGGUGGUGUUCUAGGAGGGCGUGGUGUUCUAGGAGGGCGGUGGUGUUCUAGGAGGGUGGUGGUUCCCCUGGUCAUGGAUGGCCCUGGUGGAUGAGCCUCAGCCAAUACCCUUCCAGCGCUGGAGGUGAAGAACAUGAUGAUGAAGAGGAUGUGAGGGGAGCAGUGAUCCUUCCUCCAAGGCGUUGAUGAUGAAGAGGAGGAUGAUGAUGAUGAUGAUGAUGAUGAUGAUGAUGAGGAGAGGUGAGGGGAGCAGUGAUGUCUUCACCUCGGUGUGUCUGAUGACCGGGGCGUGCUGUGGCUGUGCUGCGGCCGUUAGUCAAUAUGGAAAUAGAUUUGAGUGGCGCCGUCGGGUAUCAGUCACACACUCAGAGAGAGGGAGACACACACACACACACACACACACACACACACACACACACACACACACACACACACACACACACACACACACACACACACACACACACACACACACACACACACUCUCUACCACACUCUCUACCACACUCUCUCCCACACUCUCACACACAUGGUUCAGAACAGAGAGAGAGAGGAAAAUUAAACACUUUGAUUAUUAUUGAGAAUCCCAACAUUAGAAGCCAUUUCCAAACUCUUCUGUGGUUUGAAUAAUGAACUCCACAA